UUAGGAAGUUUCGGAUGGAAGUUUAGAACUUAGUGGCGGACGGGUGAGUAACGCGUGGGUAACCUGCCUCAUACAGGGGGAUAACAGUUAGAAAUGACUGCUAACACCGCAUAAUAUAGCGAAACCGCAUGAUUUUGCUAUCAAAUAUUUAUAGGUAUGAGAUGGGCCCGCGUCUGAUUAGCUAGUUGGUGGGGUAAAGCCUACCAAGGCGACGAUCAGUAGCCGGCUUGAGAGAGUGACCGGCCACAUUGGGACUGAGACACGGCCCAAACUCCUACGGGAGGCAGCAGGUGGGGAAUAUUGGACAAUGGGGGAAACCCUGAUCCAGCGAACCGCCGCGUGAGUGAAGAAGUAUUUCGGUAUGUAAAGCUCUAUCAGCAGGGAAGAUAAUGACAGUACCUGACUAAGAAGCCCCGGCUAACUACGUGCCAGCCGCUGC
rnacentral:rRNA from 1 species